CCCUCUUAUCUCUGUAUGUCCAAUGAUAUCUCGCACCUCCUCCUGCAUCAAAUGCCGGUGUAUCCAAUGAUCGAAAAAGGCGCCCAACUAGAUUCACAUUGAUGAAUUAGCACCUCAAAUUAAAGAGGUCCAAAGAGAAAAACCGAAAAGACGCCUCCGUCACUUAUGAAAAAAGAAAUCAAUGUUGAAUCCACAAUUUGCUAACUCCCCAUGACAGAAAUGGAACGCGCGUUUUGCGAAAUUCGACAGAAAUGGCAGCAAAAACUAGCACCGACUCAUGCUCACACGUGUUAUUCUUUCAAAAGUGCUGGGGGCACGAUCGAUUUCUUAAUCAGGGAUGGUUUAGAUUCUAUUGUCGUCGUAUUCUGCUUAACAACCCGAAACAACAAACUCCCUCCCCCAGUUUUUAUUCUCGCGUCAGUGGAUUGUUCUUUCUUUGGAUAAAUUAUAUCCAUUAUUAAUCUGA